CCAAAACCCCGAUGCAAAGAUCAAAAGAAAAAAGAAAUGGAGUGAAAGACUUCUGGUUGCUCCACCAAACCAACCUGCUCCUGCUCCUGGAGCUCCAGAGGAAGUCACCAGCAUGGAUCACAGUCCUAAGGACAUCCCAGUCACGAGGACAGAAUACAAUGACCUGAACCUGAGGUACACCGAGCUGAAGAGUGACCACGUCAACCUGCAGGAAAAGUAUCAACAGCUGCAAGAUGAAA